rnacentral:rRNA from 1 species
CUAGAACCUUUGCGCUCUCUUUCUUCACACCUCCAGUCCUCCACCCACCCUCAUUUCCCAGUCGCGUACGUGGGCAGUUCACACCAACCCCCACCCUGAUCGCCCGCAUCUGCAUCGGGAGCGUGAAGGAAGAAAAAAUAGGAGGACAUGACGCUGCUGUGUGUGCCGCUGGUGGGGCGGACGGUCGAGGAGAUGAAGAUCGACGCGGCGGCCGCAGCGGCCGCAGGGGCCGACCUUGUCGAGAUCCGACUGGACUACAUCGAGGGGUUCCGCCCGCGGGAGGACCUUCCACGUCUGCUCCACAGCUGCCCACUCCCCGUUCUUGUCACCUACCGGCCUAACUGGGAAGGAGGUCGCUAUGAUGGUGAUGAUGCCACUAGAUUUGAAACACUCUAUUUAGCUAUGGAACUAGGUGUAGACUAUGUUGACAUCGAGUUAAAGGUUGCUGACAAAUUUGUUGGUUUUCUUUCUGGUAAUAAGCCAGAUAAGUGUAAACUUAUUGUUUCUUCACAUAAUUAUGAAAGUACCCCAUCCUGCGAGGAUCUUGCAAAUCUUGUAGCCAGAAUACAAGAAGUUGGAGCUGACAUAGUUAAAGUUGCAACAACUGCUACAGACAUUGUUGAUGUGUCAAGGAUGUUCCAAGUGAUGGUGCACUGCCAAGUGCCUAUGAUUGGAUUGGUGAUGAGUGAGAGAGGUUUGAUGUCAAGGGUGUUAUCCCCAAAAUUUGGUGGAUAUCUUACCUUUGGAAUACUUGAUGCUACAAAGACAUCAGCAUCUGGGCAACCAACACUUGAAGAAUUAUUGGACAUUUACAAUAUAAGGUGUAUAGGACCUGAUACAAAAGUUCUUGGUCUUAUAGCCAACCCAGUAAAGCAGAGCAAGAGCCCAAUUUUGCACAAUAAAUGUCUACAGUCUGUUGGAUACAAUGCUGUUUAUCUUCCACUUCUGGCAGACGAUCUUGCUAGAUUUCUUGACACAUAUUCAGCUCCAGAUUUUUCAGGAUUUAGUUGCUCUCUUCCUUUCAAAGUGGAUGCAGUACAUUGUUGCCAUGAACAUGAUGCUGUUGCUAAGUCAAUAGGUGCCAUAAACACUAUAGUUAGGAAAUCAGACGGCAAAUUAGUGGGCUACAAUACAGACUACAUUGGAGCAAUUUCUGCUAUUGAAGAUGGCAUAGGAGGUCUGGGGUCAAAGGAUGCUGCUAUGUCACCAUUGUCUGGCAGGCUUAUUGUUGUUGUAGGUGCUGGUGGUGCUGCUAAGGCAAUUGCCUAUGGAGCAAAGAAGAAGGGUGCAAGAGUUGUAGUAGCAAAUCGUACCUAUGAAAAGGCAGUUACUCUUGCCAAUGCAGUCGGUGGCCAGGCCCUGAGGUUAGCCGACCUGGAAAAUUUCAGGCCUGAAGAAGGGACGAUCCUCGCUAAUGCAACAUCAUUGGGGAUGUACCCAAAUGUUGAUGGCACUCCUGUUCCGAAGAAAGCUUUAAGUUUCUAUGAUGUAGUGUUUGAUGCGGUAUAUGCCCCAAAAGUUACCCGGCUUCUACGAGAAGCAAAAGAACAUGGAGUGAAAGUUGUUAGCGGUGUAGAGAUGUUUGUUAGACAAGCCAUGGGCCAAUUUGAGCAUUUCACUGGUGGUAUAGAAGCUCCUGAAAGCCUGAUGCGCGAGAUAGCAGCACAGUAUACCUAGCAGGCUGAUGGUGAAAUAAUUGGCUUGGACAAAUUAGCCCAAAGAUUCUUCAAGAUGAGUGGAUAUCAAAUUUUGACGCC